UGGGGAAUAUUGGACAAUGGGCGGAAGCCUGAUCCAGCCAUGCCGCGUGUGUGAAGAAGGCCUUUUGGUUGUAAAGCACUUUAAGCGAGGAGGAGGCUCUUCUAGUUAAUACCUAGGAUGAGUGGACGUUACUCGCAGAAUAAGCACCGGCUAACUCUGUGCCAGCAGCCGCGGUAAUACAGAGGGUGCGAGCGUUAAUCGGAUUUACUGGGCGUAAAGCGUGCGUAGGCGGCUGAUUAAGUCGGAUGUGAAAUCCCUGAGCUUAACUUAGGAAUUGCAUUCGAUACUGGUCAGCUAGAGUAUGGGAGAGGAUGGUAGAAUUCCAGGUGUAGCGGUGAAAUGCGUAGAGAUCUGGAGGAAUACCGAUGGCGAAGGCAGCCAUCUGGCCUAACACUGACGCUGAGGUACGAAAGCAUGGGGAGCAAACAGG
rnacentral:rRNA from 1 species